rnacentral:rRNA from 1 species
AGUAGGGCCUGCCCACUGAAUUUUAAAGGGCCGCAGUAUUUUAACUGUGCAAAGGUAGCAUAAUCAUUAGUUUUUUAAUUGAAAGCUGGAAUGAAUGGUUUGAUGAAAAAAAAUCUGUUUCAAUAUUAAUUUUUUAAAAUUUUAUAAUUAAGUAAGAAAGCUUAAAUAUUAAUAAAAGACGAGAAGACCCUAUAGAGUUUUAUUAAUAUAUAAUUUUUUUAUAAAAAGAAUUAAAUUUUAAAUAAAUUAUAAUUAAUUUGAUUGGGGUGAUUGAAAAACUAGAUUAACUUUUUUUUAUUAGCACAUUUAUUUAUGAAUAUAUGAUCCAUUUAAUUGAUUGUAAGAAU